rnacentral:rRNA from 1 species
AAAAUGACUCUCGGCAACGGAUAUCUCGGCUCUCGCAUCGAUGAAGAACGUAGCGAAAUGCGAUACUUGGUGUGAAUUGCAGAAUCCCGUGAACCAUCGAGUCUUUGAACGCAAGUUGCGCCCGAAACCUUUAGGUUGAGGGCACGUCUGCCUGGGUGUCACAC